UACAGAGGGGGCAAGCGUUGUUCGGAAUUACUGGGCGUAAAGGGCGCGUAGGUGGCCUUCUAAGUUGAACGUGAAAUCCCUGGGCUCAACCCAGGAACUGCGUCCAAGACUGGGAGGCUUGAAUACGGGAGAGGGAUGCGGAAUUCCUGGUGUAGCGGUGAAAUGCGUAGAUAUCAGGAAGAACACCGGUGGCGAAAGCGCUCUGCUAGGCCGCAACUGACACUGAGGGACGAAAGCUAGGGGAGCGAAUGGG
rnacentral:rRNA from 1 species